UCUUUCUUUGCUGGCGACCGGCGCACGGGUGAGUAACACGUAUCCAACCUGCCCUUUACUCGGGGAUAGCCUUUCGAAAGAAAGAUUAAUACCCGAUAGCAUAAUGAUUCCGCAUGGUUUCAUUAUUAAAGGAUUCCGGUAAAGGAUGGGGAUGCGUUCCAUUAGGUUGUUGGUGUGGUAACGGCCCACCAAGCCUUCGAUGGAUAGGGGUUCUGAGAGGAAGGUCCCCCACAUUGGAACUGAGACACGGUCCAA
rnacentral:rRNA from 1 species